rnacentral:rRNA from 1 species
UACAGAGGGUGCAAGCGUUAAUCGGAAUUACUGGGCGUAAAGCGUGCGUAGACGGUCAUGUAAGUCGGGUGUGAAAGCCCCGGGCUCAACCUGGGAAUUGCAUUCGAGACUGCAUGGCUAGGAUGCGGAAGAGGGAAGCGGAAUUUCCGGUGUAGCGGUGAAAUGCGUAGAUAUCGGAAGGAACACCAGUGGCGAAGGCGAGUCUCUGGACAGCAACUGACGCUGAGGCACGAAGGCCAGGGGAGCAAACGGG